UACAGAGGGGGCAAGCGUUGUUCGGAAUUACUGGGCGUAAAGGGCGCGUAGGCGGCCUGCUAAGUCGAACGUGAAAUCCCUGGGCUCAACCCAGGAACUGCGUCCGAUACUGGUUGGCUUGAAUCCGGGAGAGGGAUGUGGAAUUCCAGGUGUAGCGGUGAAAUGCGUAGAUAUCUGGAGGAACACCGGUGGCGAAGGCGACAUCCUGGACCGGUAUUGACGCUGAGGCGCGAAAGCCAGGGUAGCAAACGGG
rnacentral:rRNA from 1 species